AAUCCUUUUUUUUCAAGUUUUGUACUUGGUCCCCUCUGACUUAACGCCGACCAACUGUCAAACGGUUUGUACACCCGGCGGCAUUGUUAUUGUUUAUGUUUAUCCGAACUUUAGAUUUAUCGCGAUCGACAAGUGUUUUUUGCGUUAAUUUCAAUUAUUGAAGUUCAACAAUGGUUCGACGGUGUUUUAUUUUAAGUUGUGGCAUCUCUGAGCGAACAGCUGGUCCUUCUGUUUCGUUUCAUAGAAUACCUCGCGAUGCCUCGCAGAUCGUUGCAUGGAAAGCAGCUCUGCUAAACAACGGUGAUGAAAUCCCUUCUCCUGGCCCCAGAGUCUACAUCUGUUCGCGUCACUUCCGGGCGAACGAUUUUAUUAUUACUGGCAAAGGAAAACAGCUUCGGGCAAGCGCUGUUCCUAUUGCCAUUCCUCCUAACGAUGUGACAGUAUUGUCCAAUAUUUCAACGUCCUCAAGUGUUCCGUCGCAAACUGUGCAAAAUGUGUCCCAAUCUUUUAACUCCAGUUAUAACAAAUCCAGAAUCAUCGAAUCGAAUCCAGAAUCAUCAGUUUCCACAGCAAGCUGUUCCACUAAAAGAUAUUAAAGUACUGGAUAGAGAUUA